rnacentral:rRNA from 1 species
UGGGGAAUUUUGGACAAUGGGGGAAACCCUGAUCCAGCCAUCCCGCGUGUGCGAUGAAGGCCUUCGGGUUGUAAAGCACUUUUGGCAGGAAAGAAACGUCGCGGGUUAAUACCCCGCGAAACUGACGGUACCUGCAGAAUAAGCACCGGCUAACUACGUGCCAGCAGCCGCGGUAAUACGUAGGGUGCAAGCGUUAAUCGGAAUUACUGGGCGUAAAGCGUGCGCAGGCGGUUCGGAAAGAAAGAUGUGAAAUCCCAGAGCUUAACUUUGGAACUGCAUUUUUUAACUACCGGGCUAGAGUGUGUCAGAGGGAGGUGGGAUUCCGCGUGUAGCAGUGAAAUGCGUAGAUAUGCGGAGGAACACCGAUGGCGAAGGCAGCCUCCUGGGAUAACACUGACGCUCAUGCACGAAAGCGUGGGGAGCAAACAGGAUUAGAUACCCUGGUAGUCCACGCCCUAAACGAUGUCAACUAGCUGUUGGGGCCUUCGGGCCUUGGUAGCGCAGCUAACGCGUGAAGUUGACCGCCUGGGGAGUACGGUCGCAAGAUUAAAACUCAAAUGAAUUGACGGGGUCGAU